rnacentral:rRNA from 1 species
AACGAACGCUGGCGGCGCGUCUUACGCAUGCAAGUCGAACGGCAAGAGAGGAGCUUGCUUCUCUCCUAGAGUGGCGGACUGGUGAGGAACACGUGGGUAAUCUACCCUUAAGAUGGGGAUAGCUGCUAGAAAUAGCAGGUAAUACCGAAUACACUCGGCAUAUCACAAGAGGUGUUGAGGAAAGGAAGCUACGGCUUCGCUUGAGGAUGAGCUUGCGUCCCAUUAGCUAGUUGGUGAGGUAAAGGCCCACCAAGGCGACGAUGGGUAUCCGGCCUGAGAGGGUGAACGGACACAUUGGGACUGAGAUACGGCCCAAACUCCUACGGGAGGCAGCAGCUAAGAAUAUUCCGCAAUGGACGGAAGUCUGACGGAGCGACGCCGCGUGGAUGAAGAAGGCUGAAAAGUUGUAAAAUCCUUUUGUUGAUGAAGAAUAAGGGUGAGAGGGAAUGCUCAUCUGAUGACGGUAAUCGACGAAUAAGCCCCGGCUAAUUACGUG